rnacentral:lncRNA from 1 species
ACACAUCAUUCCAUACAAGACCAUAGAAAACUCCAAUGAAACAACUUCUGGAGAUGACCUCACGUAUAACUCAUAGGAUGGAGUGAUGAAGAUAUGCUUGCCUGCACACAAGAAGGAGUACAUUCAGCAUCUUGAAGAGCAUCACCAGCAAUAUGAAGAUUUAGUAAAGAAACCGACAUCCAACAGACAGGAAGAAUUCAAAUCCUGAAUUUGAUAUUUUCAGUGGAUGAUCUUGUACCAAAAGUUUGUACAGAGCACUUUGUGUACAUGAGUAUGGAUUGGGCACCUCCCUAAGAAAUAGUGCAGUUGAAUCUGUCCAGCCAAGGAAACUACAACUCACUGACAACAUUAGACACAUUGCCUGUUAGAGAGGACCAGGGUAAAGACGCAUCAGAGGUAGUUCACCUUCUUUUGUUCUCUCUGUGGAAAAGUCACUAGCCAAGACCUCAUACAUAUCAGAGAGUCAAGCAUCAGCUUCUCACAGGGGGCUCAAUAGCUGGACAAUUUAUUUUCCUUCUCUCUUAAAAAGAUCUUUCUUUUUAACUAAUCUUUUAUUUUCUGAUUUGAAAGAAAAGGGUGCUGAAUAAUCCCUAAUAAGAAUAACUAUAGCGUAAGGAUUCUGAGCGUAAAGAAUUGGAGAGCACAGGAAAGAGAUGGCCAACAAAGAGAGAUACGUAUUUAAUUAUGUGUAAAAAAAGAAAGAAAGAUGAGACACAAUCAAACCAACACAAACCGAGCAUAAGGCAUGAACAGAUUUGUCUGAGUUAGGCAAAGAACACUCAAGUUCACGGAGUAGACUGACCAGGAGGGAGUGUUGGCAUGAAUACCACUCUGCUGCUGUAGCUAGAGAACUGCUAUUAAGAUCUCUACACUUUGAUAAGGGACAAAGAGAAACCAAGUAGUUACAGCUACUUGAGUUAGAGUCACAGAGGACCGAAUUGAAAUCACCUUAACACACACCCAUGAACGUUUCUAAAACCCAUUAGUUCAAGUGUUUUUUUUUUAAUUUCUGAAAAGAGUAUCAUCUGUACCAUAUCAUCUUGAUAAAUAUCAUAAAACAUAUUGCGACACAAUGUGGUAUUUCCUAAAAUGUUCAGUCCACAGUAAAAUUCCAACUUUAUUAGUAACCAUUUGUAGGAGGCAUGUAGGUAUAGAUUUAUCGUAAGAAGUAACUUAUGAUUCACCAGGAGAAGAAAAUUACAAGGGACUGCAUUUUAACCUGCAAGCAAAUAGAGAAAACGAUGAAUGUCUCAACAGAUGAAUAAACUCAGGUAGUCAAAUUCAGAGGUACCCAUUCUCAAGUCUCACCAAGUUCACAAUCAUGGAAAAUGCUGCUCCAUAAUUAGUCCACGGGCUUGGGAAAGCCAAUGUGUAUAGAGCUUUCUGGGCAUGCAUGAGGAUUCCAGGCAGAUCCUAAGGACCCACAUCGUAGCUAUGAAUGGCAGUAUGUGUGGACCUGAAACUGGUGGGAUAGAAAUAUGUGCAUCUCACAGUCUACCCUGCCUAAACAAGGUGAGCUCCAGAUUCAGUGGCACACUCUCUAAAAAGUUAAGAUGGAAAACCUCAGGUUUACACACAUACACACAUACACACACACACACACACAAGGGGGGGGAGCAAAGCUACUUAAUUAGUCUAUUUGAUACAAGUAUGUAAUAUGAUAAUAAAAAUAAACAAAAAAUAAAAUGGAAAAUUAUUUU